GGUGCCGUAGCCUAGUGGUAAAGGCGAUAGACUAGAAAUAUUUUGGGAUAUUCCCGCGCACGUUCGAAUCCUGCCGACGACG
rnacentral:tRNA from 1 species